AAAAGCUUGGGCAAGCUGUGAAACUUCUCUGAGCUGUGGUGUGCUUGUCCGUGAAAUGGGAUGUUGUAAAGCUCCAGUGUGCCUGUCACAUAGGCUGGGAGUCACAGACAGACCUGUCUGACUACAAGACAGUGUCCUUCCUCAGCACCCACACUGCCUCCUGGGGACAAGCGGAUAGUAGGUGGUCAGAAAAACACUAAGGAAGCACCUGUCCUUGGCUUUGUCUCGGCUGGGUCACCACGGACAAACUUGACGGAAUUGCAUAAUAUACUAAGAAAAAUCAGUGUCAACUCUGGGUACAAAUGUGGAAAUGUUUGUUAAAUGGUAAGUAAAGGAAUUAGACAAAAUCGUGUACCCAACAGGGUUACAACUCUUUAUUAUUAUUUUUAUCUGUUUAGGCAUAUGGUUAAAGAUUAGAAGAGAUGAGAUGCAUUAAACAGCUUAUAUUCUGGUGAACAUGGGGUUGCUCUUUGUGCUUUUGCUUUUCUUCACAGUAGUAAUCAGCACCUAUGUUGUACUGUAUAGUUCAGAAAUGCGAGGCCCCUGUGGGUGGCCAUCGUUCACGCUGCAGGCAGAUCGAGGUCCAGAGAAGCUGUGGAUCCUGCUGAUAGCUAAGUAGUAAAGUCAGACUCAUGCUCUUUCCACUGCACCGUAUUGCGCCUCACAUUGUAAAGUUGACCAAAGACAGAGAAUUUUGAAUUUAUUUCUGCAUGCUGUGUGAAUGUUCAAGGUGGAUGACCUCUAGGGAGGGAGUUCUGAGGUCAUGUGAAGGUGAAGAGAAAAUAGGAGUGAAGGUUUCCCAGAGGAGAACCCAGGAGGGAGUAAGAAGGUUCAGUAUAUUCUCUUCUUUGUGUUCGAGGAAUGGCUGAGGACAUGGCGUACCAAACCCUCUCUGUCAAAUCUGGCAUAAGGAAUAUACAGAAAAGUGUUGCUAAACUUAAAUAUUCCAAACAUCAAAACUAUUCCAAAAUGCCCUGGAGACACUUGAGUUUCCAUUAUUAGAAAUGAUUCCAUUUAAAGGGAGUCUUCUAGCCCCAUGAGUCCCAGGAUUUGACAUACUAAGUUAUUUCUUGUAAGGCUCCUGACUGGAGAUGGUACCACCACCCUGAAAGCUCUACUAGGGCCCCAAACAUGAUCUACUCCUUUGACAACAGGGAAUAUAAGACCAAAUAUUGACUGACGGGAAUGAGUAUCUAUGGCCAGUUCACCUAAACAUGCUAUAGUUUCCUAUCUAAGGGCAUUCUGUUAUUUUCAAACAUCAGACGAGUACGGAUAUUUAGUGUGAAAGACUAUAUUGGACAUAAUUAUAAUUUGUCCAAGACCAAGAAGGGGCAAAACAAACUCAAAUCGUAGUCUACAGUAAUUUUUGGUUUUGAAGAGGAUAGGUGAUCUCGCCAACAGCCCAGACUGCAAAAGGGACUGUGAGAGGCAGGCCGCUGCUGGAACUUGGGCGGGCCCCCGCCUGUCCUCGAUGGGGUGGUCCUGCUGUGCAGUCAUGAGGAUUUGGGAGCUUGUAACGCUAAUGAUGUGUAAAUGCAUUUUCAGCUAUUUUAGUAAGCUGGCCUUUCCACGUUCAUUAUCAUUAAUAUAUGUGGUUGGGAUAUGUUCCUCCAGAGAUUCUGCAAAUAGCUCUCCUAUUGUUCAGGAAAAAUUUAUAGCAAGUUGGUUAAAGGGGAGGCACCAGUGAGCCCAGGCUUAUACUUCUCAUAGGAAAUGAAAGCGUUACUGAUGGUUUUGUAAGGAGGUGGAUCUUUGGUCUAUAGGUCUAGGCAUCUUUUAAGCAGAGCUAAUUAACUAUGCUUUGAUGAAUCCAAGGGGAAAUGUGGAUGUCUGAGCACUGGAAGGCAGAGAAAGGUGGUACAAAUUCCCCAAGAUUAUAUCCUCCUCUGUGCUAAUUUGCUUUGACAGGUUCUACUUUUUGCCACCGUCUGUCUCCGGCAAAGGGCUACAGUGUCCUCUGGAUGUAGUAGUGAAGAAGGAAGGACCACAGCAGAGUUCAGUGGGAUGGGAGGGUCUUCUUCCCUGGAAGACCCCACAAAGGGCCCUGGCACUGGCAGGGCCUGAGAUUUCCCACUGCUGCAUCUCAAAUGGGGCUUGAAAUUUCUGGCUGGGCCAGGAGAAAGGAAGUGGCUUCACCACUCAGCCAUGCCUCCGCAGAUGAGCUCUGGGUGGCUAGGAAACUGUGGGGAGAUGACAGUUUGGGCAGUGGAAUCCGAUUUUACCUCUGGUACGUUUUAUAGCCAUGAGCUGAUUUGUACCUCCUAAAAGUGAUUUGUUUGGAUGGUAUGGAGGGAUUCUCACAAAUGCACGAGCCCCCGAUAAGAUCAUAAGCAUCCAUUUCUAUAGGCAUGGCCAGUCCAAUACAAACCUACCUCUCUGAUUCCUGAAAGACACCUGACCCCUGGCUCAGGUGGAAUCCUUCCCUUUAUGAAACCAAGGGUCAGAUGGAUGAUCUCUGUGGUCCUCUCCCUCAAAGUGCAAUGUUGCCACUUGGAUUCUAACAAGAUCUUGCUUAUGUUGGAAGCUGUCAGCAGAUGCUAAAAGCUCUCCCUGGUGAGUGGGUACCCAGGCCUCACUGGCUGAAGGAUGAGGUUGGUCCACGGUGGUGUGUCUGGUCUCUGAGUCUUGGUGCAGCAGGAGGAAACGCACUCUCCUGUGGCAGAGACCUGCCCUUUGGCUGUUUUCCUCUAUGUAAACGCCGCAUCUGGAUCCAGCCAGGAGAGGCUGAGCAGGGCCGGAGAGCAGGUGACACGGGGCACUCUAGGGGGAGCAAAUGUGAAUUCAUACCGCCUAGAGUUGGGGAAUAGAGAACAAGAGGUUCUAAAAACAGUGGAAAACUAGAGACAUGAUGGCCAAAUGUGACAUGUGAGCUUUGACAGGAUCCUGGGUUUUUGAAAAAGGCUAUAUAGGACAUUAUUGGGACCACUGGGGAAAUUUGAAUAUGACUCUCUGUUAGAUGAUAUGUAGUCUCAAUAUUGAAUUUCUUAAGUAUACAGUGGGGUUAUGCUUAUGGAUAUAUUAUGUAUCUUUUUAAUAUCUACAGAGAGAGGUGAAGCAAAUAUAAAAUACUAAGAGUUGGUGAAUGUAGGUGAAGUUUAGUGUGUUUAUCAUGCUAUUCUUUCUUCUGCAAGUUUGGGGUUUUUAAAAAUAAGCAGCGUGGGAAAAUUGCUUGUAAGUCAGAUAUGUGCUGUAGUAUAGGUUCUCCAUUCCUACAACCUCCUUCUCCCGUGUUUUAUUCAUCCCACACAUUGAGAAGAACGCACUCCUGCUGUAAUUUAAGCUCAUUUCCUCAUUUGUUCUCUUCUCUCAGGAGACACAGUCAGCAUCCUCCUUGUAAAUCUAGGGCGCAGCCUGAUGGAUGCCCUGGGGGGCCUCAGGCCCUGUGUUUAUGUGUGUUUACCCGGCCCUCUCCUCACCACCCAGCAGGAGCCUCCGUUGAGCACCAGCAGCGCCAGCAGCAGCUAAUGCCUGCUGAGCAUCCACUCUGUCAGGCCCUUUGGCCGCACCAGCUCCAUCUGGGGCUAGGGUCUCUCAUCACCCCAUUUCACAGACCGGUCCAUGAGGCUCAUACUGCUUGUGAAUGACAGAGCCAGAAGUGCAAGAACCCAGGACUUGUGACUCCCAAACCUUCAUUCUUUGCUGCUAUUGAGUGGGUCUCAGCCCGGACCAUGCUGGACUUACGUGGGGAGCGUUUUAAAGAUAUAAGUGUGUGGGCCCCACACUGGGAGUACUGGGGUCUGGCGUGGGGCUCAGACAUCUGUUGCACCGAGAGGCUUGGCUGUUUGGCUUGAGCCUCCAUUGUCUCUCUAAGCCUUGGGUGACUGCCAUCUGUGGCCUGUCUCCUCGCCCAUUCCCCUUGGAGAGUAAACUUGCACCUGAGGGAUUUUCCUCAGCCCUUCCUUUCUGUUCAGAGCAUGGCCGGCUUGGUUUGACCCCGAUGGCCUCACGGGAUGCAAGCUGGGGCUGUGGAUGUGCUUGCAUCUGAGCCGUCACGCCAUUCCCUGCUGUUGGCUUGCCACAGAGUUGUGUGGACUUAGGUGUGAGCACCUGUGGACCCCUGCGCAGGGCGACCUGGGCAUUCUGAGAAGACGCCUCUGGGGAAGGAGAGGACAGAGGCACAUGGAGGAGGAGCGGGCCGCAGCUGUACCCACAAUAUUCUGUUUCUUAUUGUUUGGGUGAAUCUCAAGGGAAUUAGGCUGAGUGAAAGAAGUCAAUCCCCAAAGGCUACAUAUGGUAUGAUUCCAUUUAUAUAACCUUGAUGUGACAAGAUUAUAGAAGUGGAGGGCAGAUUGGCGGUGCCAGGAGUUGGGGGCCCCAAGGGACCUGGUGGUGCCACCAGUAUUCUGUGUCUGGUCUGCAUUGGUGUUGAGUUUCUGCGUGUGAUAUUCUACUGUCGUUUUGAACUAUGGUGCUGUAGUGGGACACUGAGUAAAGGGCACACAGAAUCUCUAUGUUAUUUUUUACAAUUUCACAUGAACCCUGGUCUCUCAAAAUAAGAACUUCAUUAAAAAAAAAGAGGAUAUAAGGCAAAUAUGGCAAAAUAUUAAUGUCUAUUCUAUAUGGGUCUUGGAAAUCUGUUAUAUUUGUUGUAUUAUUUUCAAUCUCUGAAUGUUUGAAAUUGCUAGUAAAGACAAACACCUUCUAAGUAUGCAUCCUUACCCAAGACCCGCUUCUGGUCCCCUCAGGCUGGUGUGAUGGUAGCACAAGUCUGAGCAGUUUUGCAAGGGGAGGGAGGUGGUGCUUAGCGGCUUCUGACUUUUUACUGCCCUUACUCAGCCUGGGAAAGCAGCUAGUGCUCCCUGAGGCUCGGGACCUCCUUCCCUUGCAGCAACCUCGGUGCUCCAGCCCA